rnacentral:misc_RNA from 1 species
AGGUACAUGAAAAAAUAGUCAAGAAAUACGCAUUAUCAAAGAUUACUCCAUAAGUUGUAAUCAGAUCUCGAUGAAAUAUGACCACAUGAUAAACAUCGGCUUUCGAUUAGGUUAAAAACAUCAAAAUCAGUACACCCAAUAGUAUGUUAAGUAUUAUGUAGUUAAUGUAAAGUUAUGCGGAUGCUACCACACCAGGGAUAUCUCCUUUCCACCAAAAAAAGAAUUAUCAAAAUCUUUUCAUAAACGGCG